GACGAACGCUGGCGGCGUGCUUAACACAUGCAAGUCGAACGGAAAGGCCCCCUUGUGGGGUACUCGAGUGGCGAACGGGUGAGUAACACGUGAGUAACCUACCCUUGACUUUGGGAUAACUUCAGGAAACUGGGGCUAAUACCGGAUAGGAGCUCCUGCUGCAUGGUGGGGGUUGGAAAGUUUCGGCGGUUGGGGAUGGACUCGCGGCUUAUCAGCUUGUUGGUGGGGUAGUGGCUCACCAAGGCUUUGACGGGUAGCCGGCCUGAGAGGGUGACCGGCCACAUUGGGACUGAGAUACGGCCCAGACUCCUACGGGAGGCAGCAGUGGGGAAUAUUGCACAAUGGGCGGAAGCCUGAUGCAGCAACGCCGCGUGCGGGAUGACGGCCUUCGGGUUGUAAACCGCUUUCGCCUGUGACGAAGCGUGAGUGACGGUAAUGGGUAAAGAAACACCGGCUAACUACGU
rnacentral:rRNA from 1 species